rnacentral:rRNA from 1 species
UAGUCAUAUGCUUGUCUCAAAGACUAAGCCAUGCAUGUCUAAGUAUAAACGUUUUGUACAGUGAGACUGCGGAUGGCUCAUUAAAUCAGUUAUAGUUUAUUUGAUGAUCCCUUACUACUUGGAUAACCGUGGUAAACCUAGAGCUAAUACAUGCGAAAAGUCCUGACUACGGCUUCGGCUGUCGGAAAGGAUGUAUUUAUUAGAUUAAAAACCAAUACAGGGGCAACCCUGUUCAUUUGGUGAUUCAUAGUAACUUAGCGAAGCGCAUAGUAGCCCUU